rnacentral:rRNA from 1 species
UACGUAGGGUCCAAGCGUUGUCCGGAAUUAUUGGGCGUAAAGAGCUCGUAGGCGGUGUGUCGCGUCGGAUGUGAAAGCCCGAGGCUUAACUUCGGGUCUGCAUUCGGUACGGGCAUGCUGGAGUUCGGUAGGGGAGACUGGAAUUCCUGGUGUAGCGGUGAAAUGCGCAGAUAUCAGGAGGAACACCGAUUGCGAAGGCAGCUCGCUGGGACGUUACUGACGCUGAGACGCGAAAGCGUGGGGAGCAAACAGG